GACGGAGGGGGCAAGCGUUGUCCGGAAUUACUGGGCGUAAAGCGCACGUAGGCGGUGGCGUACGGCGGUGGUGAAAGCUCCCGGCUCAACUGGGAGAGGCCCGCCGCACCGGCGCGACUCGAGGGUGGUAGAGGCAACUGGAAUUCCUGGUGUAGCGGUGAAAUGCGUAGAGAUCAGGAGGAACACCCGUGGCGAAGGCGAGUUGCUGGGCCAUGCCUGACGCUGAGGUGCGAAAGCCAGGGGAG
rnacentral:rRNA from 1 species